rnacentral:misc_RNA from 1 species
GCCUAGUUGAACAAUUGAGGUAUGUGUAGUUCUUGAUAACAUAGUAAUAUCUGAAUGGAGUGUGAGAGAGAUUAAGAUUAAGAAACACUUGAUGAACACAGUUCUUGGGAUCAAGAAGAUGGAGUUUUCUGACAUCGUAGGAGAUGGAUUUCACAACCAAUUCUCCGUAACUUGGAAAGCGAAUCAUGGUGGUGUUGUCUUUACAAGAAAGUUCAAAAGCAGGGCGACCACAGUGAUGGGGCUGCCGGCCUGAUAGCCGGAAAGGAAAACGAAUAUCAGGAGCACCAUCACCGCACUUGAGAAUGAGGCAGUGGCAGUUGGCUUGAAAAGCUUGGAUGCUCAGAAACAUGGAAGAGAAGAAAAGAAUAAAUAAGAAGGCAGAAUCCAUUGAUCACUUUUUUUCAAGAACUCUCUGACUUUGAAUUCCUUUCUAUAGAAAUAUUGUUAUGCAGACAUCAUCAAAUAAAACUCUCUCUCCUUAUAUAAGAGUUUCAUCCACUCCAUAUCCAAAACUAAUACAAAUUGAAUGGCAAACAUGAAAAAGUGAACAGGGAAAAUUUUCUGUUUUCCAGUAUUCCUCUCAAAAGAUUACUUGAAAACCAAAUGCUUACAGGAUAAUUAAAUGUUUUUCCCCUGAAAAUUGCAUUCACUUCGCUUUUACUACCAGGAAGGAACCACUUUUCCAGGCAACUUCCCUGGCAAACAAAGACGGUCAAAUUAAGUAG